rnacentral:rRNA from 1 species
UACGUAGGUGGCAAGCGUUGUCCGGAAUUAUUGGGCGUAAAGCGCGCGCAGGCGGUUCUUUUAAGUCUGAUGUGAAAGCCCACGGCUCAACCGUGGAGGGUCAUUGGAAACUGGAGAACUUGAGUACAGAAGAGGAAAGCGGAAUUCCACGUGUAGCGGUGAAAUGCGUAGAGAUGUGGAGGAACACCAGUGGCGAAGGCGGCUUUCUGGUCGUGUAACUGACGCUGAGGCGCGAAAGCGUGGGGAGCAAACAGG